rnacentral:piRNA from 1 species
UGGGAAGGGCCUUUUAUGAAGACAUAAGG